UGGUCAUCACUAGGCCUCUCUUGUCCAGGCAAUUUCCCCCUUAAGUUGUCAUACAUGCUACAAAUUUUGUGCUUUCUGUCAUCCAUUAGGGCAGGUCGCUCUUCUUCCAGACUUAGGAGAUAACGUCUUUCAUAGUCCUCCACAUCAAGGAGUAAGCUGUAGGUUUUCUCAAUUAUAACAAGGGUUUUUCUCCUCUUGUCUCGAACUUGUUUUUCUUUUGUCUCAUCAUCCUCACUCCGAGAUGUCACAACAGCAUCAAUCAUUUUUCGGGGAUUAUUCACACUAGAAACGGUAAGCUUUCCCAAAGAGCCCUCAAAUUGCACUGGCUUAUAGGCGUG
rnacentral:lncRNA from 1 species